rnacentral:rRNA from 1 species
UACAGAGGUCUCAAGCGUUGUUCGGAUUCAUUGGGCGUAAAGGGUGCGUAGGCGGCGCGGGUAAGUCGGGUGUGAAAUCUUGGAGCUUAACUCCGAAACUGCAUUCGAUACUGCCGUGCUUGAGGACUGGAGAGGAGACUGGAAUUUACGGUGUAGCGGUGAAAUGCGUAGAUAUCUGGAGGAACACCGGUGGCGAAGGCGGCAUCCUGGACCAAUUCUGACGCUGAGUGAGCGAAAGCCAGGGGGAGCCAAACGGGGAU